UCCCAGCGACUGCUGCAGGCCCAAGUUGUCCUGAAGUCGGCCUCUCCCGGCCCUGCCUCCCAGCAAGUAGGCAGGGACUUGGGCCUGGGAGGUCGCGGUGGGGCGAGAGCUGGGCCUGGAGACUCCCCUGGGAGGCAACAGCGGGUUUUGCAGACGCUCUUCUCCAGCCGGAGCUGGGACUGUUCAGUCACUGGGAGAAGGGAUGUGGGUCUGAAGAGCUUGGUUGCAGAAACUUCGGGGUCUACAAAGGCCGGCGGGAGCUGAGCCAAAAGAGCUUGUUUGCUGGGAGGCGGGAGAUGCAGCCAGGAGGAACAGCUGGGCCAUGCGGGAGGCAGAGGCCGGGCCUCCUCAAGUCGGCCUCUCAGACCCACUUGGCAGCCUCCCGGCGUCCUCUCCGGGCCCAGCUCUUCCUCCCGGCUGCGUCUCCAGGCCGGACUCUGGCCCGACUCCAGGUCCCAACAACGUCUUUGGACUCAGCUCCUGCCCAGCUCCCAGCGGCCCUGGUAGGCCCACAACUUCCCUAAGCCAAGCUCCCUAGGCCCAGCUCAGGCCUCACGGUGGCCUCUCCAGGCUCAGCUCCUGCCCUCCGAUGGCAUCUGCAGGCCCCAAACGGCCUCCGGUCGGUGGGCUCCUCUAGGCCCAGCUUGGGCCUCCUGGCGGCCUCUGCAGGCCCAAGUCGUCCUCAAGUCGGCCUGGAAGUGGGCCUGGAAGAGCAGCAAGUUGGCCUCCCCGGGCCCAGCUCUGUCCUCUCGGCGGCCUCUCCAGGUGCAAAACUUCCUCGAGUCAGCCUCUCCAGGCCCAGCUCCUCCUGCCUCCCAGUGGCCUCUUUCGGCCCAGCCCAGCUCAUGGCUCUCGGCGGCCUUCCCAGGCCCCGCUUUUGACUUUUGGCAGCCUCUUCAGGCGCAGAACUUGAUCUCCAGUCGGCCUUUGCAGGCCCGGCCUCCUGCCUCUCGAAGGCCUGCACGGGCCCGGCCUCGGCCUCACAGCGGACUCUCCACGCCCAGCUAGCUCUCGCCUCACUGCGGCCUCCCCAGUCCACAGCUCCUGCCUUUCGGCCACUUCGGCAGGUCCAGCUCCUGCCUGCCAGUGGCCUCUUUAGGCCCAGCUCAUUCCUCACAACGGCCUUUCCAGGCCCCGUUUUUCCCUUCUGGCAGCCUCUUGGCCUCUAAUUUGUUUAUCUUUUGUGUAUAAAUCCCAAAAUAUGGAAUUUUGGAAUAUUUCCACCAUUAUAUAUUUUGGUAGGUAA
rnacentral:lncRNA from 1 species